rnacentral:tRNA from 1 species
UGCAGUCAAGAAAUGGUUUCGGGAGGUUUACGUCUUCCGAAUGAAAAGGGAACCCGGUGAAAAUCCGGGACAGUACCC